rnacentral:lncRNA from 1 species
AAUGAGCCGAGCAAUUCAGAAUAUCGAAGAGCCGAUCUAGACUUACUUCUAAAAGUCCGACAGCAAGCUCAAGUUCAGAUGGCAGCAUAUUAGCAAAGAGUAGUCUGGUAUUAUAAUACAAAAAUUAGGCCGAAGAUCUUUUAUCCAGGAGAUCUGGUCCUAAGAAAGGCAGAAGUCUCAAAAUCUUUGGACCAGAGAAAAUUAUCUUCAAAUUGGAAAGGACCCUAUAGAAUAAUUAAAACACUUA